rnacentral:lncRNA from 1 species
UUUUCAUUUGGUUGAAAUUUAGCAAAAUGAAAUAUUUAUUUUAUUCUCUCACCACCAAUAAAGCAUCAUCUUCUGCUGCCUACUUCUAGAAGACACUAAGACAUUAAAAUGAAGGUUCUCAUUUUGAUUGCUGUCAUCUUGACUUUCACUGCUUGUUUUUCGUCAGCUGAUGCACAUAAGCAAAAAAACUCCAGGUCUAGUGAAAGCUCCGAAGAAUAUUUUAAACUACCUAAACAAUUAAGGUCUAAGCUGUCAAGAAGAUAUUCUGCAAAAUUCCAACGAGCUCCUGGAAGUCCAUGUGGUCACUCUGUUCGUCAUGAACCCCCCAGAGGCCACCAUCCCCUCCACCUCCCUCACCAUCCUCACAUCCCACAUGAACCGUCACCCAGACCUACAUUGCCACCUGAGAACACUGUCUAUCCUAGUUCUCAAGCACCAUCAGCCCCUUUUAGGGCUCCUCCAACCAUAAUUUACACCACUGCCACUGUGCUGCCACCACCACUGCUUUCACUGUCUCUGCCCAAAACACUGAGAGUGUUGCAUCCAGCACUAACAGCUUCCAGUGCCCUCCAACCUGAGGACAUCACCAAUGCCCUUGAAGCUGACACUACUACCCCUGCCCCAGUAGCUGACACUACUACCCCUGCCCCAGUAGCUGACACUACUGCUGUCUAUCAGCAACAAGAGCCUCAGUGA